AGCAUGUGUGUGUCUUUGUGUGUCUUAAACUUGUGCUGAAAGAUCACCAGACACUGAUCUCUGGGGUCUUUGGGAAGUCUGAGCAUCGCCUCACCCGAGGGGCCGAUGCUUUGUCCUCACAGGAUUGUAUCAGAUGUCUGGGAGAUAUAAAGUGAUGCUCGCGACUCGCCAGCUGGUUGUGCUUUUUAUAGACAUUUGAUGAACCUGUGAUGUGACUCUGAAGCUCACUAAUAGUCUAACUCGAUAGCAGUGGUGUCAAUAAUUUAUUAAUAUGAUAUAUAUUGAUGGAAGAAAUGCCAUUAUGUACAGUAAACACCCUGCAUGAGUCUUUUGCCUGCAGGCAGACAUUAAAGUAUUGAACUCUCACUCAACCACUGAAUACUGUCUUACUACAAGCUAUAUUAAAAAAAAAG